rnacentral:rRNA from 1 species
AUUGAACGCUGGCGGCAGGCCUAACACAUGCAAGUCGAGCGGAUGAAGGGAGCUUGCUCCUGGAUUCAGCGGCGGACGGGUGAGUAAUGCCUAGGAAUCUGCCUGGUAGUGGGGGAUAACGUCCGGAAACGGGCGCUAAUACCGCAUACGUCCUGAGGGAGAAAGUGGGGGAUCUUCGGACCUCACGCUAUCAGAUGAGCCUAGGUCGGAUUAGCUAGUUGGUGGGGUAAAGGCCUACCAAGGCGACGAUCCGUAACUGGUCUGAGAGGAUGAUCAGUCACACUGGAACUGAGACACGGUCCAGACUCCUACGGGAGGCAGCAGUGGGGAAUAUUGGACAAAGGGCGAAAGCCUGAUCCAGCCAUGCCGCGUGUGUGAAGAAGGUCUUCGGAUUGUAAAGCACUUUAAGUUGGGAGGAAGGGUAGUAAGUUAAUACCUUGCUGUUUUGACGUUACCAACAGAAUAAGCACCGGCUAACUUCGUG